CAUUGUCAACUUUUGUAUGAAGCAAUCUUGACUGAAUGAAAUGGCUCACAGAGCUGCGGCGAGGGCUCAGCUGCACGGUAGUGCGGGACCGGCCGACUCGUCUCUUUUUCUACCCGCAGGCCCGGCCGUCUGCCCGGUCGUUCGCCCGGUCGGGCCUGGCCUGGCCUGGCCUCACAGAUUGUGGAUGUCGCCACUUUUUCUUCCUGUCCUGGAAAGUGUGUCCUAACAAUAGGAAAGGCAGCCAUCGUGCAACCAGUCGCUGCUUGCGCCGUGAAGAGGGCCUGCGUGGGCCGCGUUGGUGCCAGGGGGGUCGGCCGGGUAAGGAGGAGGCCACCUGAGAGGGUGCUGGACUUCACGCCUCAGGUUUGGGCCUGAAAGACGUGCCAGACCUGCUGCCAAAUCAUUGGCCGCCACCUCACCCUGCAGACAUGGCUGACACACACACACGCACGCACGCAAGCACACGCGUGCGCGCGCGCACACACACACACACACGAGUUUCUUUCUAUUUUAUUUGCAAGCAUAUACAGCCAAGUGAAGAAAAUGACCUGCCUUUCUUUAAAGACAAUAUAAAUGCAGCAUACUCUAUUUCUAAUGCGUUUGCGUAUUUAUAAGUCAGUAUUGAUCACUUGUGUUCUACCUCUAGAACCUUCCUUGCCUUUCCGUGCAACACCUCGUAUUGCUUGAUAUAUUUCUUAAUGUUCUGCACUGUCGAGCGUGAACUAUGCAAACCUCUUGAAACGCUAGUCUUGUUCUUUGACCCGCUAUUAGUUUUGUCACUUUUUAUUAUUAUUUUAGAGCACAAGGAAAUAGUUGCUCAUUCUAAGCCCUACAUUGUUGUAAAAAUGUUAAGGCACAAACCACAGCAGUUGUGGUUACUAGUUAGGUACUACUGUAAAAAAAAAAAUUAUGUUUGUUUGUCAUCAAGAAAUAAGCACCUAAUCAAUUUUGGAUGGGAAUUCUUCUUGAGGUUUGAUGAUUGAUUUGAAUGAUGACUGUUUUGAACAUUGCAUUGCGUUUUGUCUAUGAAGGCAGGCAAUUGCCAAACAGGCAAGUGACACAAGGGGCAUGGAAGAAGCCAUUAAAUCAUAAACUUGCAAAUUGAGGGAUUUGAUGAAACAAAAAUGGAAUCUGAGUGGUGACCAAAUCCAGGGUGUAGCCUGUCUCACGCCCAAAUUCAGCCCCAGCUCCCCUGGGACCCCAAUAAGGACAAGUGCUAAAGAAAAUGGAUGGAUGGAUGGAUGGAUGGCCUUGGCGGAGGUCUGUGAGUGUGAAUAAGGUUGUAUGCCCUGUUUGAAUGUGUGUUAAUAGUAACAGUUGUUUGAAGUUUUAUAAUAACACCUCUGCUCAUCUCUGUUAGCCCGUCUAUGGCGUUCCGUAUUAUUUAUUGUAAGCAAGUAAGUAAUAAUAUUUAUUUCAACCAAGUAACGAAGGGAGAUUUCUAAAUAUAUAUUUACACGUUAAACUGAAAGGACAGAAGCACAGUUUAGGAAAUUAAGCCCUGCCCUACAAAAAAAUAAACCAUUUCAUUUGUUGCCAACUGAUAUCAUGAAAUACCCGAGAAUAUUGAAUAUUCAACACUUUCAGAUAAAAAUUUCAAUUAUUCUACCAGUCAACUCAACCAAUACCAAAACAAACACGUCAGAGCAACUGCACAGCAUUUUAAUAAACGGAUCUCAAUUAUGGAAUGAACUAACACCGGAAUUUAAGAAUGUUAAAUUAUACCCACUUUUCAAAUCUAAAUUUAGAAAGAAAUCCUAACUGGAAAAGUAUCUAUUUUAAUCCCCAUUAUUCACGUAUUUGAUUUUUGUUUCAAUAAAAAAGAAAGGUUAAAAAAUGUAUGGACAUUUUUUUUAUCAUUUGGUUGAGCAUUUUGUUGUUUAAAUAGACAACGUUUUAUUCUCUUGAUUUAUGUGUCAAUUUUACAGUAAACUUAAACUGGU